rnacentral:lncRNA from 1 species
GGAUAAUUCACCUUCUUCUCCAAAUGCCUGAAAAUGUCAGAUAUUUUUUCUAGUUUAUGGACGAGUGCAUUCUGAUGAAACCUGAAAAAACAGUAACAGAAGAUGAGAACGAAGGUGCCCUCUGGAUCAAAGCAAGGAGAAAUGCCCCCGCGACAAGGAUGACCUCAGCCAAGCAGAAGCAGGUGGGACUGGGGAAGGACACAUCCAACCUGGGCCCCAGGUGUGGCUCUUCCUCUCUGCACUGAAUCAGCACCUGGAGCCUGCAGAGAACUGCCUGGGAAGUGCCAGAAGGUGAAAUUGUGUUAAUCUUGUUAAUUCUGGGCAGUGGGCGGGCUGGGGGCCGGUCACCUCUAUCUGCAGAGCUGUCUGCAGUUUGCUCUGAAGUAACUGCUGUGGAAGAUUGCAGCGUUUGAUUUUGGCGUUCCAGACAGUGCACAGCCUGUCUUUAAGCUGCUUAGCAGAGUUUGGGUUUUGGUUUGGGUUGGUUUGGCUUUUUCCCUUUCCACAUUUCAAGUGGUAGGAAGUUUUGAAGAACAUGAUGCAGAGGGGAGGGGAAAGGCUUUGCUGACACAGACUCAAAACUUCCCUUCCAGAGGUCCAGGGAGAGAGAGCCUCAGGGCUGUGUACUCCCAGGGGAAGGAGGCAGAAAUUUGUCUGUACACACAUCGUAUUUCAAAGUAUCUUCUCAGCCUCAUAAAUAAAAAAUCGUGUAGAUCUGAGCCUUUCUCUUAAAAUGGGACAUCUAAAUCUGGACACUCAAAAUGUAAUUUAAACUUGAAAUCUGAAGAGCAUCCAUAAUCCUACCUAAUUUUAGCCAUUAAACUUGGUCCUACCUGCUUUUCACGUUCAGUGGCCAUUACUGAGUGUACUCGCCUCUGCCGACUAGAGAGCAAGCCUCGGGGUACCCUGCUCCUAACAUCUCCCUGCCGCCAAAAGCAGGUGGCACAGAGCUGGACAGGAGACAUGUGUAUUUCAAGCUUUUAAAAAAGCUUUGUUAACUCCCUGAGGCUGAUGAAAGUAGACUAGUUUCUUUUUUACUUUAACUUUUGCUAAUGACGCUUGUAUAUUUUUGCUCAUUGGUUCCCUUAUUUUGCUUCAGUUCUGCCAGAUGAUUCAUGUCAAAAUCUCAUAAAAACUGGCAGUAAACAACCUACUGUUCAUCAGAGCGAUUCAGUAACUUCUGGGAACAAAUUUCAGAUUGUUUAUUUUCCAG